ACGAACGCUGGCGGCACGCUUAACACAUGCAAGUCGAACGAGAGAAGAGAAGCUUGCUUUUCUGAUCUAGUGGCGGACGGGUGAGUAACACGUGAGCAAUCUGCCUUUCAGAGGGGGAUACCGAUUGGAAACGAUCGUUAAUACCGCAUAAUAUAAUUGAACCGCAUGAUUUGAUUAUCAAAGAUUUAUCGCUGAAAGAUGAGCUCGCGUCUGAUUAGCUAGUUGGUAAGGUAACGGCUUACCAAGGCGACGAUCAGUAGCCGGACUGAGAGGUUGAUCGGCCACAUUGGGACUGAGACACGGCCCAGACUCCUACGGGAGGCAGCAGUGGGGAAUAUUGCACAAUGGAGGAAACUCUGAUGCAGCGAUGCCGCGUGAGGGAAGAAGGUUUUAGGAUUGUAAACCUCUGUCUUCAGGGACGAAAAAAGACGGUACCUGAGGAGGAAGCUCCGGCUAACUACGUGCCAGCAGCCGCGGUAAUACGUAGGGAGCGAGCGUUGUCCGGAAUUACUGGGUGUAAAGGGAGCGUAGGCGGGAUCGCAAGUCAGAUGUGAAAACUAUGGGCUUAACCCAUAAACUGCAUUUGAAACUGUGGUUCUUGAGUGAAGUAGAGGUAAGCGGAAUUCCUAGUGUAGCGGUGAAAUGCGUAGAUAUUAGGAGGAACAUCAGUGGCGAAGGCGGCUUACUGGGCUUUAACUGACGCUGAGGCUCGAAAGCGUGGGGAGCAAACAGGAUUAGAUACCCUGGUAGUCCACGCCGUAAACGAUGAUUACUAGGUGUGGGGGGACUGACCCCUUCCGUGCCGCAGCAAACGCAAUAAGUAAUCCACCUGGGGAGUACGACCGCAAGGUUGAAACUCAAAGGAAUUGACGGGGGCCCGCACAAGCAGUGGAGUAUGUGGAUUAAUUCGAAGCAACGCGAAGAACCUUACCAGGUCUUGACAUCGUAUGCAUAGCUCAGAGAUGAGUGAAAUCUCUUCGGAGACAUAUAGACAGGUGGUGCAUGGUUGUCGUCAGCUCGUGUCGUGAGAUGUUGGGUUAAGUCCCGCAACGAGCGCAACCCUUACUGUUAGUUGCUACGCAAGAGCACUCUAGCAGGACUGCCGUUGACAAAACGGAGGAAGGUGGGGAUGACGUCAAAUCAUCAUGCCCCUUAUGACCUGGGCCUCACACGUACUACAAUGGCUGUAAACAGAGGGAUGCAAAGCCGCGAGGUGGAGCGAACCCCUAAAAGCAGUCUUAGUUCGGAUUGUAGGCUGCAACCCGCCUACAUGAAGUCGGAAUUGCUAGUAAUCGUAGAUCAGCAUGCUGCGGUGAAUACGUUCCCGGGCCUUGUACACACCGCCCGUCACGCCAUGAGAGUCGGUAACACCCGAAGCCUGUAGUCUAACCGCAAGGAGGACGCAGUCGAAGGUGGGAUUGAUGACUGGGGUG
rnacentral:rRNA from 1 species